rnacentral:rRNA from 1 species
GACGAACGCUGGCGGCGUGCUUAACACAUGCAAGUCGAACGGAAAGGCCCUGCUUUUGUGGGGUGCUCGAGUGGCGAACGGGUGAGUAACACGUGAGUAACCUGCCCUUGACUUUGGGAUAACUUCAGGAAACUGGGGCUAAUACCGGAUAGGAGCUCCUGCUGCAUGGUGGGGGUUGGAAAGUUUCGGCGGUUGGGGAUGGACUCGCGGCUUAUCAGCUUGUUGGUGGGGUAGUGGCUUACCAAGGCUUUGACGGGUAGCCGGCCUGAGAGGGUGACCGGCCACAUUGGGACUGAGAUACGGCCCAGACCCCUACGGGAGGCAGCAGUGGGGAAUAUUGCACAAUGGGCGGAAGCCUGAUGCAGCAACGCCGCGUGCGGGAUGACGGCAUUCGGGUUGUAAACCGCUUUCGCCUGUGACGAAGCGCGAGUGACGGUAAUGGGUAAAGAAGCACCGGCUAACUACGUG